rnacentral:rRNA from 1 species
UGGGGAAUAUUGGACAAUGGGCGAAAGCCUGAUCCAGCCAUGCCGCGUGUGUGAAGAAGGUCUUCGGAUUGUAAAGCACUUUAAGUUGGGAGGAAGGGCAGUAAGCGAAUACCUUGCUGUUUUGACGUUACCGACAGAAUAAGCACCGGCUAACUCUGUGCCAGCAGCCGCGGUAAUACAGAGGGUGCAAGCGUUAAUCGGAAUUACUGGGCGUAAAGCGCGCGUAGGUGGUUCGUUAAGUUGAAUGUGAAAGCCCCGGGCUCAACCUGGGAACUGCAUCCAAAACUGGCGAGCUAGAGUAGGGCAGAGGGUGGUGGAAUUUCCUGUGUAGCGGUGAAAUGCGUAGAUAUAGGAAGGAACACCAGUGGCGAAGGCGACCACCUGGGCUCAUACUGACAUUGAGGUGCGAAAGCGUGGGGAGCAAACAGG